GCAUGAUAUUUUUAUUAAAGAAUUUCGGUUAUCGAUGGGGAUGCGUUCCAUUAGUUUGUUGGCGGGGUAACGGCCCACCAAGACUACGAUGGAUAGGGGUUCUGAGAGGAAGGUCCCCCACAUUGGAACUGAGACACGGUCCAAGCUCCUACGGGAGGCAGCAGUGAGGAAUAUUGGUCAAUGGGCGAGAGCCUGAACCAGCCAAGUAGCGUGAAGGAUGAAGGCUCUAUGGGUCGUAAACUUCUUUUAUAUGGGAAUAAAGUAUUCCACGUGUGGAAUUUUGUAUGUACCAUAUGAAUAAGGAUCGGCUAACUCCGUGCCAGCAGCCGCGGUAAUACGGAGGAUCCGAGCGUUAUCCGGAUUUAUUGGGUUUAAAGGGAGCGUAGGUGGAUUGUUAAGUCAGUUGUGAAAGUUUGCGGCUCAACCGUAAAAUUGCAGUUGAAACUGGCAGUCUUGAGUACAGUAGAGGUGGGCGGAAUUCGUGGUGUAGCGGUGAAAUGCUUAGAUAUCACGAAGAACUCCGAUUGCGAAGGCAGCUCACUAGACUGUUACUGACACUGAUGCUCGAAAGUGUGGGUAUCAAACAGGAUUAGAUACCCUGGUAGUCCACACAGUAAACGAUGAAUACUCGCUGUUUGCGAUAUACAGUAAGCGGCC
rnacentral:rRNA from 1 species